rnacentral:tRNA from 7 species
GGGCCCUUAGCUCAGUUGGUAGAGCAGUUGACUUUUAAUCAAUUUGUCGCAGGUUCGAAUCCUGCAGGGCUCACCA